rnacentral:rRNA from 1 species
GUCGUGAGAUGUUGGGUUAAGUCCCGCAACGAGCGCAACCCCUACCGCCAGUUUGCCAUCAUUCAGUUGGGCACUCUGGUGGAACUUGCCGGUGACAUGCCGGAGAAAGGCGGGGAUUGACGUCAAGUUCCUCAUGGCCCUUUAUUGGGUGGGGGCUACCACACGUGCUACAAUUGGCGGUGACAGUGGGAACGCGAAGUUCGCAAGAUUGGAGCCAAUUCCCCAAACCCAUCCUAGUCCGGAUCGGAGUCUGCAACUCGACUCCGUGAAGUCGGAAUCGCUAGUAAUCGCGGAUCAGCAUUGCCGCG